GCUGCAGAACAAAAGGUGUUUGUCAACAGUCAGGCAGUCUUUCUGAAAAAGGAGUUCUUUAGUGAAAAAAUUAAUGCCUGUAAAAUUGAACUUGAUGAAGUUCAUAAGGUGGAAGAACCGACACACACAGAAUUGAAUUUGAUUAGAGAAUUGAAUUCGGAGCCAAUAGAGGCACCAUUAAGGAGAUCCAGUAGAAUACCACAUUAAACAAAUAGAUACUAUGA
rnacentral:lncRNA from 1 species